AGGUUCACGGUGGGAACUGAAGACAUUUUCAUUCCAGCCCCGGAGUUUUUAUCAUUCGGUCUAUUUGCACAGUUCUCUCUGAACAUGCAUGUGACUCGGACACAUAUGAUUUCCCUGUUGCCAAAGGAAGUUUCCAGUUUCGCGUGGUGUGAAUUGAAGUCAUUUGCCUGAAGUGUUUCCAAUGAUUUGCACAGUAAGUGCUGUCCAU